GGAAUAUUGGACAAUGGGCGAAAGCCUGAUCCAGCCACGCCGCGUGAGUGAUGAAGGCCUUCGGGUCGUAAAGCUCUUUGGGGAGGGACGAACGUCCCCGUGAAGAACGGGGGGUGACGGUACCUCCUUAGCAAGCACCGGCUAACUUCGUGCCAGCAGCCGCGGUAAUACGAAGGGUGCAAACGUUGCUCGGAAUCAUUGGGCGUAAAGCGCACGUAGGCGGCGCUCUAAGUCGGAUGUGAAAUCCCUCGGCUCAACCGAGGACGUGCAUCCGAAACUGGAGUGCUCGAGUAUGGAAGAGGGUCGCGGAAUUCUCGGUGUAGAGGUGAAAUUCGUAGAUAUCGGGAGGAACACCAGUGGCGAAGGCGGCGACCUGGGCCAAUACUGACGCUGAGGUGCGAAAGCGUGGGGAGCAAAC
rnacentral:rRNA from 1 species